rnacentral:lncRNA from 1 species
UUUUUGCCCUGAGUCUUUUCUAUUGUUUCUGGUUUUAUUUAUAAUGAUUAUAUAUUCAUGAGUUUAAGUAUCCUAAAAUAUCUGCAUUUUGGUGGGGAGGGAACUAGAUAGGCCAUAAAAUUUUAAAUACUCUGUAUAUUCCAAACACACAUCUAUUUACAAAAAUAUGCUCACGAAAUGGAGCCUCAUCAAGCAUUUUCUGUCAAAUUGGAUUUGCAUGUUAUAUAUCACAUAAUGAGCCUUUUGAAGUUCCAAGAAGUCAAAAUUCCAUCCAGUGACCUGACAUCAUGAAAACAGAUUCUUCACCAGUCAAAAGAGCUAAUUCAUUAUGGGGGAAAAAUGAUGCUAAAAAUAUCUGCACUGUCUUAGUCACUAUAGUUUUGCUGAAACUAUAACCAGUUCAAAACAUACUUUUUUUAUACAUUGUAUAAAACAGAUACUAUAAACAAUAGAGAAUACUCUUCAUUACAAUUUGGAACUAGAGGAAUUUGUUUUCUUUCAAGCACAACUGUUAGCAAUUACAUUAUUCUAGCGGUCAAGAUAAACAAAGCAAUUAGAUCUGAAGAAUUAGGUAUUAACGUUAUUGUGAAAUAUCAGAGAGUCUUUGCAUGCUGCAACAGGCUGGGAAAUGGUCCUUUACCUGUAGCACAAAGAUAAUAUAGUAUUACAAGUUGUUUAUUUAUGUCUAUCUUAAACAGUUGGCUAGCUAGCCUCUUCUAGUAAUCUAAACAAACAGGAUAUAUAAGUCACACAAUUGAAUAUCAGAUACAUGAGGGAUGGGACUUGGGUCUCC